AUGGAAAGGAUCCAGUAUUUGUUUUCAGGCAAAAGCAAGCCUCCAAAAGCCCCUUGGUUCUUCUCUAUGUGUCUCGCCCCUUCUGCCUUGUACACCAGACUGCCGGCAAGCAAGCGGGGAGGUAGAGAACAGCUGGGAUCCUCCAGUGAAAAGGUUGCUCAGCGCGAGAGAUGUCAAGAGGCUGGGAUUGUCGCCCAUCGGGAGAAGAAUUCCACAGAUGAAUUGGUUCUGCCCUGUAUCUUUGAAUGGUUUUUAUUUUCUGAUGUCCAGUGUGGCAGCCUGGCAGAGACAUUUAGUUGAAAGAACACGGGGCUCUGGAAACAACCAGUCCUCCUUGGUUCAUAUUCUCGUGUUGUCACUUAUUAACCGAGUGACAUUGGGUAAGUUCUUUUGUCCCUUUGAGCUAGUGUCUUCAUUCCAAUAACUAUUCCUACCAUCUGAGUUUGCUAAUGGGUCUCAGGGAGAUGUAAGACAUAUAUCACUUGGUACCUCAUUUCAUUUCUCUGAUAGCAGAAAGUGGGAAGAUCAUGACCAGUCAAGGGGCCUCUGAGUCAAUCACGAUUUUUCCUUCUGCAGAGUGUAAUACCUUCUUUUCUUCCUGCCACAGAAAAAAACCACACUUGCUGAGCCAAAGAAGACCUUUCUGUUUUUUGAAUAGCUUUGACUAGGUACAUUUCUUGAAAAGGAUUCUUCUUUGGCAGGAGAAGCCCAGAUUUGAGGUCCCAUGGUCCAGGAGGCAUCUCGUAUACCUCUGUUGGUAUGCCUACUGUCCCAUUUUAUUGACAUCUCUCAGCAGAGUGGGAGAUAAGAGGAGAUGAUGCUGGAAUUCUUUCUGAGUAUCAGUCUAGCAUUGGCGGAGGGUCAAAAAACUGUAAUAAAACUCUCUAAGGAUUUGUCUAAUUCAAUAACUUAGAUCUGAGCCAACUAUCAUCUCCUUGGAGAAGACUUCCCUGACCGUAUGAUCAAAAUUACUUCCCCCAGUCACCCUCUAGUCAUCAGUGUUCUUUUAUCCUCAUCCCAGCACUCACCACUCUCUGAAAUUACUUGCUUAUUUAUAUGUGUACUUGUUUAUGUUUCUUGUUUGUUCCCUCCACUGAAACAAACUCUAUGACAGCUCUUAUUUUCUUUUCUAAGCCUCAUUGCUUAGAACAGUGUAUGACAAAAGUAGGCCCCCAAUAAAUAUUGUUACAUAAAUAAUUAGACUAUAGAUCUCACUAAUGUUGGAAAUGACCCCAGCAUCUAUAAAGGAAUGAAUAUAGCAAAAGAUAUAGUUCUGGCUGGGCUCAGCUAAUCUCACCUGGUUCAUCUACCUGGCUGGGCGUGUAUGGCAGGGCAGAAUUUCUUUUUUAGAUUCGAACUGCA
rnacentral:lncRNA from 1 species